rnacentral:rRNA from 1 species
UGCACCUACGGGGCGCAGCAGUGGGGGAUAUUGGACAAUGGGGGAAACCCUGAUCCAGCGAUGCCGCGUGAGGGAAGAAGGUUUUCGGAUUGUAAACCUCUGUGGAGGGGGACGAUAAUGACGGUACCCCUUUAGGAAGCCACGGCUAACUACGUGCCAGCAGCCGCGGUAAUACGUAGGGAGCGAGCGUUGUCCGGAAUUACUGGGUGUAAAGGGAGCGUAGGCGGGGGAGAAAGUUGAAUGUUAAAUCUACCGGCUUAACUGGUAGCUGCGUUCAAAACUUCUUGUCUUGAGUGAAGUAGAGG